GCCGGGCGUGGUGGUGGGCGCCUGUAGUCCCAGUUACUCGGGAGGCUGACAGGAGAAUGGCUUGAACCCGGGAGGCGGAGCUUGCAGUGAGCCGAGAUUGUGCCACUGCACUCCAGCCUGGGCGACGGAGCGAGACUCCAGAUAUAGUUUUUCUUUUUUUUUUGAGACAGUCUUGCUCUGUCGCCCAGGCUGGAGUGCAGCGGUGUGAUCUCGGUUCACUGCAACCCCCUCCUCCUCAGUUCAAGCGAUUCUCCUGCCU
rnacentral:SRP_RNA from 1 species